GACGAACGCUGGCGGCGUGCUUAACACAUGCAAGUCGAACGGGAAGGCCCUGCUUUUGUGGGGUGCUCGAGUGGCGAACGGGUGAGUAACACGUGAGUAACCUGCCCUUGACUUUGGGAUAACUUCAGGAACCUGGGGCUAAUACCGGAUAGGAGCUCCUGCUGCAUGGUGGGGGUUGGAAAGUUUCGGCGGUUGGGGAUGGACUCGCGGCUUAUCAGCUUGUUGGUGGGGUAGUGGCUUACCAAGGCUUUGACGGGUAGCCGGCCUGAGAGGGUGACCGGCCACAUUGGGACUGAGAUACGGCCCAGACUCCUACGGGAGGCAGCAGUGGGGAAUAUUGCACAAUGGGCGGAAGCCUGAUGCAGCAACGCCGCGUGCGGGAUGACGGCCUUCGGGUUGUAAACCGCUUUCGCCUGUGACGAAGCGUGAGUGACGGUAAUGGGUAAAGAAGCACCGGCUAACUACGUG
rnacentral:rRNA from 1 species